rnacentral:lncRNA from 1 species
AUUAUUCAUUUCUGUAACUACGUACACCACUGUGAGGAAACCAAAACAGCAAGUGUACAAAAGGGCACUUCGGACAGAAACCAGGCAUGCUAAUUUGAACUAGCUAGGGUAUCAUUUAACUUUUAAAAAAACUAGGUACAGUAGUACAUUACACUGACAAAAACCUCGUAUCACAAUGAUUUGCGUUUUCGCGCGGUAAAAAAUGGACGUCCCUCGAAACCAUCACAUUUCCAGUCCAACACUUCUACUGAGAGCUAAAUGGGCGAUGAGAAGACGGCAGCAACUACAGCUCGUCCUUGUCGUACUGCUCGUGCUCCGGCUCCUCCGCCUUUGCUGACUCCUUCUCUUCCACCUCGGGCUCCUCCACCUCCUCUUCCUCCUCCACGGCCGCGUCGGGGCUCAGGUCCAAGCUCUUCUGCACCGACCGGUAGAUGCUCGAGGCAAAGUCCUUGGGGUCCGGCAGGUUGAACCCGCUCUCCAUCAGCGCCGUCUGGUACACCAGCCUCGCCGUCUGCUUCAGACCCUCGCUCUGCACACACACACACACAUGUGCCAGCAAUUUAGCAUCAUCUUCGGCUGCCGGCAUUCAUGAAGCAAAGAUCAGGGGUAUAUAGGGAGACUCUACUCACAUCGCUGUCCUGGGCGACCUUGUCACGGAGCUCCUUGAUGAUGGGGUGCCUGGGGUUGAUCUCCAGGACCCUCUUGCCACGCAUGUACGCCUGCUUGCUCGCGUCCGACAGGGUCUGCGCCUGCAUGAUCUUCUCCAUGUUGGAGCUCCAUCCGUACUUGGAGGUGACCACCACACAGGGGGUGUUGUGCAGCCGGUUGCUGAUCUUCACCGAGUCGAUGCCCUCCGUGUCCAGGGCCUUCUUCCACCAGUCGGUCAGCUCCUUGAACGACUCCUUG